AUCCAGCUGAUGAGUCCCGAAUAGGACGAAACGCGCAUCCUGGAA
rnacentral:hammerhead_ribozyme from 1 species